AGCGCUCCCUGGAGGUCGUCAGAGCCCGCCGCCAAAUUUUUAUUAUUUUUCUAGGGUGUAAAAAUUUUAAUGCAUAAAGGAAAAUAAAACAAGCCUAACAAAAUUGGUUUCACUAAUUUUGGACACUCCUAGAAAUUUCUGUGAUUUAAAUGGUGAAAUUCGGAUUUAAACUAAUUACUUUCUAAAGGAAAUCUAAAUUUUCCCGAAAACACCCCCG
rnacentral:lncRNA from 1 species